UACGGAGGGUGCAAGCGUUGUUCGGAAUCACUGGGCGUAAAGGGCGUGUAGGCGGUCUAUCAAGUCUGGUGUGAAAUCCCCUCGCUCAACGAGGGAACUGCGUCGGAUACUGGCAGACUUGAGUACCGGAGAGGAAGGUGGAAUUCCCGGUGUAGCGGUGAAAUGCGUAGAUAUGCGGAGGAACACCGAUGGCGAAGGCAAUCCCCUGGGCCUGUACUGACGCUCAUGCACGAAAGCGUGGGGAGCAAACAGG
rnacentral:rRNA from 1 species